AUACAAUUGAGAUUCUCCCAGAGGAUAUCCAGGCUCAAAGCAUCAGUCCACCAGCUGAACAAUCAGUCAGACUGGUGAAUGGGACCACUUCCUGUUCUGGGACAGUGGAAAUCUUCUCCAGAGGAGAGUGGUUAGGUCUAUGUCCUGCGUGGUGGAGCAUGAAAGAGACUAAGGUUGUGUGUAGAGAGCUGGGCUGUGGGAAUGUUGUAGCUGAAUCUAGAGGACUUCUGGUUGAAGAGGGAAGAGGAGGAGCCACACUAUUGGGUUGCAGUGGAGAUGCGUCUACUAUUAGAGAGUGUGACAUCAGUGGAGGAGGACCUGGUUUCUGUAAUGGUGUCACGAUCGUCUGAAGAAGCGGACC